AAGGUUUACCAGUGGCAGUAUCAUAGCCUGUGAGGUUGAACUGAGGCAUGAUUGUUGCUAAUUGAAAACUUCCCUUAGCACAAAAGAUGCUAUGGAGUUGCCUGACGUGAAUGGAUGGUAAAUGACGUAGUUACUGGUAGAAACCCUGUGUGGG
rnacentral:snRNA from 1 species